rnacentral:rRNA from 1 species
UACGAAGGGGGCUAGCGUUGUUCGGAAUCACUGGGCGUAAAGCGCACGUAGGCGGAUUUUUAAGUCAGGGGUGAAAUCCCGGGGCUCAACCCCGGAACUGCAUUCGAUACUGCUGAGCUAGAGUACUGGAGAGGAGAUUGGAAUUUACGGUGUAGCAGUGAAAUGCGUAGAUAUCGUAAGGAAGACCAGUGGCGAAGGCGGAUCUCUGGACAGUUACUGACACUGAGGCACGAAGGCCAGGGGAGCAAACGGG